GACGAACGCUGGCGGCGUGCUUAACACAUGCAAGUCGAACGGUGAAGGGAUCAGCUUGCUGGUUCUGGAUGAGUGGCGAACGGGUGAGUAACACGUGAGUAACCUGCCCCCUUCUUCUGGAUAACCGCAUGAAAGUGUGGCUAAUACGGGAUAUUCUGCGCCUGCUGCAUGGUGGGUGUGGGAAAGAUAUUGUUUCGGUGGGGGAUGGGCUCGCGGCCUAUCAGCUUGUUGGUGGGGUGAUGGCCUACCAAGGCGGUGACGGGUAGCCGGCCUGAGAGGGUGGACGGUCACACUGGGACUGAGACACGGCCCAGACUCCUACGGGAGGCAGCAGUGGGGAAUAUUGCACAAUGGGCGCAAGCCUGAUGCAGCGACGCCGCGUGAGGGAUGGAGGCCUUCGGGUUAUGAACCUCUUUCGCCAGUGAAGCAGGCCUGUACCUUGUGGGUGGGUUGACGGUAGCUGGAGAAGAAGCGCCGGCUAACUACGUG
rnacentral:rRNA from 1 species